AUUGUGACCCGCUUUAGCACUAGUUUCCAUGUGCAUUAUUUUUAAUUCUUUUGCCUUUUUUUCUCCUUCUUCUUGAGUCACUUGCCUAAACCACCGUUAGCAUAAGAACCAUCAAAAACCAAAAUAUAGCUUUGGAAUUAUGAAUGAAGAGAUGUCGCAUUGUAAAUGCUGAAUCUCUGUUAGCUGGAGUGUCAUACCUUUUAUCAGCCAAGUCCGUUUUAUUACCAACGAGAACAAUUAUAACGUCGUCUCCCCGCUCAGCACGAACAUCUUCAAUCCAUUUCUCAGUAUUUACAAAAGAGUUAUGGUCU